rnacentral:tRNA from 1 species
GGGCCAUUAGCUCAGUGGUUAGAGCAGAGGACUCAUAAUCCUUUGGUCGUUAGUUCAAGUCUAACAUGGCCCA